GAUUCCCCUAGUAACUGCGAGUGAAGCGGGAAAAGCUCAAAUUUAAAAUCUGGUAGUCUUUGGCUGCCCGAGUUGUAAUCUAGAGAAGUGCUAUCCGUGUUGGACCAUGUAAAAGUCUCCUGGAAUGGAGCAUCAUAGAGGGUGAGAAUCCCGUCUUUGACAUGGACUACCAAUGCAUUGUGAUGUGCUCUCAAAGAGUCGAGUUGUUUGGGAAUGCAGCUCAAAAUGGGUGGUAAAUUCCAUCUAAAGCUAAAUAUUGGCGAGAGACCGAUAGCGAACAAGUACCGUGAGGGAAAGAUGAAAAGAACUUUGGAAAGAGAGUUAAACAGUACGUGAAAUUGCUGAAAGGGAAACGCUUGAAGUCAGUCACAUUGGCUAGAAAUCAACCUUGCUUUUGCUGGGCGUACUUUCUGGUUAAUGGGUCAGCAUCAAUUUUGACUGCUGGAAAAAGUUUGAAGGAAUGUGGCAUCUUCGGAUGUGUUAUAGCCUUUGUUCGCAUACAGCAGUUGGGAUUGAGGAAUUCAGCAUGCCGCAAGGCCGGGUUUCGACCACGUUCAUGCUUAGGAUGCUGGCAUAAUGGCUUUAAUCGACCCGUCUUGAAACACGGACCAAGGAGUCUAACAUGCAUGCAAGUGUUUGGGUGGAAAACCCAAGCGCGCAAUGAAAGUGAAAGUUGAGAUCCCUGUCAUGGGGAGCAUUGACGCCCGGACCAGACCUUCUGUGACGGAUCCGCGGUAGAGCAUGUACGUUGGGACCCGAAAGAUGGUGAACUAUGCCUGAAUAGGGUGAAGCCAGAGGAAACUCUGGUGGAGGCUCGUAGCGAUUCUGACGUGCAAAUCGAUCGUCAAAUUUGGGUAU
rnacentral:rRNA from 1 species